CGGAAUUUUGGAUGGAAACCGUCCAAAAUGGCUCCACCUGCAACGUUUGGAAAGGUUAAAGGUGACGGUUGCAACAAAUCAAAUGUUUGAGAAAAGUCUGCUAAUGUUACAAAAGUUUGGGGCUUCUGCUACAAUUUUCCCUUAAAUCUUUGAGCACUGAUCCCUAAUUAAAUUGUUUCAGAUUUAGAAUCGAAUGAAACCUGUUGGGCUGACAAUGAGAGACAAAAGCUCGGGGAGUGAAUGAAAUUAGAUACCCUAGUAGUCUUAGUUGUAAACGAUGAAUACUAAGUAUUGUGCAUAUCGACUCGUGUAGUUCUAUAACUAACGCGAUAGGUAUCUUGCUUGGGAAGUACGUUCGCAAGAAUGAAACUCAAAGGAAUCGACAAAAGACCUCACAAGCAGUGUGAGCCAAGGUUCAUCCAUGUUGCAGCUGUAAAGGCGGGUUCGAUCACUGCAGUA
rnacentral:rRNA from 1 species